AUGCAUUGCUUGCUGAUGCACAGGCACCUUCUUUGGGGCUGUGGGCUCUCCCAGAAGAAACAAAACCCAGUGGGGAAGCAACUUAAUUGGCUGCUAAGUGGGUUAAACGCCCUGUAGAGCUGAUGGAAUUAUAUUGUCGGUUUCAUCUCCUUUGGAACAGUUGCUGAUCUCUCUCUCUCCUGAAUGAUAUGCCCCACCACCGCCGAAAUAUUAAGUGAUCUGGUUACAGCCUUCUUGGCUACCUCCCCUCCAAACUUGUUUGCUAUGAAAAGGAGAGGUUCAUUUCUUGGUGAACCUUCUCCGUUUCCCAGGAGUACAGACUGAAAGGCACUGUGACUUCAAGAAGGUAGCUAGAGUGGGAAAUCGCCACAUCACAGAAGGGCCGGUGCCAAAAUUAAUAUUUACUCAGCGCUGUGAAAGAUCCCCUGGGGGAAGCAAGAGAGGGACAAUGGACACUCAGACUCUUUCCACUUUCUUGUGCAUACGCACGUCCAGUUUUCACUGGGAUUUCAGCCAGAGUCUGAAGACCAUUAUUGAAGAGGCGGAAAUUAUCCACCAACUUUCCCCCACCCUCCCCAGCUAAAUCUCUCUGCCCGAGUUCCAAAGCUGUCCUGGGCAGUCUAUUGUCUAUCCUUUAUGUGGCAUUCGGAGCCUACAAUGUGCUAAUUGCAUUAAUAGGUUGUGGAAUUUGCCAGUAUGAGAUGCUAUGGUUAGGGUUUAAAUGGUUUGUUUUUUUACUAAUUUAUGGAGGACUGGUUAAACCGAUAGUUACAGGGUUAUGAUAUCUAAAUGGAACAUCCGGUGCUAUUUUUCUAGAAAAAGAGAUGCCGGAACUUCACCGCAAACACCUCCCUUGUUCUCUUAUAAUGGCAAUGGCUCCCACCUGAGAGGUGCUGGUGAGUUCUGGCCAAAAAAAAAAGCCCUGAGGACAUCCAUUCUGAGAAGCACAGUACAUCUGAAUGCCAGGUGCCAGAGACCAGGAUGGGGAAACUUUGUGCCCCAGUGGGCCAGAUCCUUAACUGGUUCCACCCCUGUAGGCCAACUUUGACAGGUGGAUGGGACAACCCACAUGUCAAUCACCGGAUGAGAUUAUGUCAUCAGGUGAUUGAUAGUGCAAAACAGUUUUAAUCGAAACUCCUGCUAAAGCAGAGGUUUUUGAGUUUUUACUCCAAUUUUACUAGUGGGUUUACUUUAAACUACCAAUUGUUCCUUUGUAGCCAUCUCAAUACCUGCCCCAUACCUGAUGUUGCCUAUGAUGUCAGGUGUGAGGCAGGUGGUUUAGAGCAUUAGUUGUGAGCACCCAAAGAUUUGGCUGGCCAGUGUAGCAAACAGGAGAUGGCUCCAAAGGGGAUUAGAUAAAUUCACAGAGGACAUGACUGCUCCAUGACUGUAUGCUUUCUCCAGAAUCGGAAACAGCAUGCCUCUACAAACCAGUUCCAUGGGAACACAAGCAAGAAAGUGCUGCUAUAAUCUUGUGAGCUUUCCCAAAGAUCUGAUUGAGCAACGUGGAAAAGUGGAUGCUGAAUUAGAUGGAUACUGCUGGGCUUUCCUUAGCUGUACAUCAGUCUCUCCAGUGUCUGGCUAGGAUGUUUCUGGCUGCUGAAUUUCCCUACAUUCUUGUACUAUAAGGAGGAUCUGGAAGAUUACCUGCAACUACAUUCAUCUGCAUAGCACAGGCAUCUGAUCUCUAUUUAUAGCGGCAUGAGCACAACUGGAACUGCAGAGGUCACAAGCCGAGAUGAUUAAUAGUCAGCAACUACUGAUCCGUCAGAAUGCAGUUGCACAGAACCAGUUUCCAACUUUUCCCCGAAACACCCAUGACUUGCUUAAGGCAUCUUUUGCUUGGCUGAGUUUGGCGCCUGGCUAAGCCACACAUCGUGCUUUUUUGUGUAAAUGAGUAGCAAGUGUUCUGAAGACAAUGAGCCUUCCUUCCUGGCUAAUCUGCUUCGCUGGCAUAAGUUGCCAGACAGAAUCAUAAAAGGGACUGUGAGGGUCAUCUAAUAAAACCCCUUCAAUGCA